AACGCGAAGAACCUUACCAAAUCUUGACAUCCUCUGACAGCCAUAGAGAUAUGGUUUCCCUUCGGGGCAGAGUGACAGGUGGUGCAUGGUUGUCGUCAGCUCGUGUCGUGAGAUGUUGGGUUAAGUCCCGCAACGAGCGCAACCCUUAAGUUUAGUUGCCAUCAUUAAGUUGGGCACUCUAGACUGACUGCCGGUGACAAACCGGAGGAAGGUGGGGACGACGUCAAAUCAUCAUGCCCCUUAUGAUUUGGGCUACACACGUGCUACAAUGGACAGGUUACAAAGGGCAGCGACGCCGCGAGGCCAAGCGAAUCCCAUAAAACUGUUCUCAGUUCGGAUUGGAGUCUGCAACUCGACUCCAUGAAGCUGGAAUCGCUAGUAAUCGUAGAUCAGCAUGCUACGGUGAAUACGUUCCCGGGUCUUGUACACACCG
rnacentral:rRNA from 1 species